rnacentral:rRNA from 1 species
UACGUAGGGGGGCUAGCGUUGUCCGGAAUCAUUGGGCGUAAAGCGCGUGUAGGCGGUCCGGUAAGUCCGCUGUGAAAGUCGGGGGGCUCAACCCUCGGAUGCCGGUGGAGUACUGUCGGGCUUGAGUACGGAAGAGGCGAGUGGAAUUCCUGGUGUAGCGGUGAAAUGCGCAGAUAUCAGGAGGAACACCAAUUGCGAAGGCAGCUCGCUGGAACGUAACUGACGCUGAGACGCGAAAGCGUGGGGAGCAAACAGGAU